rnacentral:rRNA from 1 species
AAUGAACGCUGGCGGCGCGCCUAAUACAUGCAAGUCGAGCGAGAAGACGUAGCAAUACGUUUGUAAAGCGGCGAACGGGUGAGGAAUACAUGGGUAACCUACCCUCGAGUGGGGAAUAACUAGCCGAAAGGUUAGCUAAUACCGCGUACGCUUCUUGGACUUCGGUUCAGGGAGGAAAGCGAUGCCGAGGGUAUCGCGCUCUUGGAUGGGCUCAUGUCCUAUCAGCUUGUUGGGAGGUAACGGCUCACCAAGGCUUCGACGGGUAGCUGGUCUGAGAGGACGAUCAGCCACACUGGCACUGCGACACGGGCCAGACUCCUACGGGAGGCAGCAGUAAGGAUAUUGCGCAAUGGGCGAAAGCCUGACGCAGCGACGCCGCGUGGGGGAGUG